rnacentral:rRNA from 1 species
GCACAAGCAGUGGAGUAUGUGGUUUAAUUCGAAGCAACGCGAAGAACCUUACCAGGUCUUGACAUCCGAUGCAUAGCACAGAGAUGUGUGAAAUCCUUCGGGACAUCGAGACAGGUGGUGCAUGGUUGUCGUCAGCUCGUGUCGUGAGAUGUUGGGUUAAGUCCCGCAACGAGCGCAACCCUUAUUGCCAGUUACUACGUUAAGAGGACUCUGGCGAGACUGCCGUUGAU